rnacentral:lncRNA from 1 species
UUUUUUUAUAAUUAUUAGGAUUUGAGAUUGAAAAUAUAAGCGCAGGGGGUGGAAUUGAAUAUGGAAAGCACGAAGGCGGGGGACUUUCUCUUAAACUCAACAUUAAGGAUGACCUGGAGAGAAAAACGAGACAGGAUAUGAUGAACCUUUUCUUUACUUGGUAAAUUAUGCUUAACACUGGACCUGGAGAAAUCCUAUACCCGACACUGGACCUGGAGUAAUCAUUUACCUAACCACUGACAUACAGUAAUCCUACACCCAACUCUGAACCUGGAAUAAUCCUAUACCCAACACUGGGCAUAGAGUUAUCAUAUACCCAAACUCAAAUCUGGACCUGGAAUAAUUAUUUACCUAACCACUGACAUUGAGUAAUCCUGUACCCAAACCCAACACUGGACCUGGAGUAAUCAUUUACCUAACCACUGACAUAGAGUAAUCCUGUACCCAACUCUGGACUUAGGGUAUUUCUUUACCCAACCCUGGACCUGGAAUAAUCCUUUACCCAACUCUGGACCUGGAAUAAUCCUUUAUCAAAACCUGGACCUGGAGUAAUCCUUUACCCAACUCUGGACCUGGAAUAAUCCUUUAUCAAAACCUAGACCUGGAGUAAAACUUUACCCAACCCUGGAGCUGGAGUCUUCCUAUAGCCAACCCCGGACCUGGAGUAGACAUAAACCUAACCACGGAUCUGGAGUAAUCCUAUACCUAACCCUGGACCUGGAGUAGACAUAAACCUAACCAAGGAUCUGGAGUAAUCCUAUACCUAACCCUGGACCUGGAGUAGACAUAAACCUAACCACGGAUCUGGAGUAAUCCUAUACCUAACCCCGGACCUGGAAUAAUCAAAUACACAACCCUGGGCUUGGAGUAAGCAUAUACCUAACCACGGAACAGAUGAAGAAACCUAAUUGAUCCUGAAUAAAACAUCCUUAAGCCUAAGUUAUGGUCUUUGAGGAACCACAAACCAAAAAUACUAUUAGGUUAAUCCUGAACCUACAUCUGCAGGAAAUAUGUAAUAUUUGACUCUUCUCAAAGAAUAUUAUAACUAUGCUUGCUCCCCGUGUACGGUGUAACCACUUAACUCCAAGAGAUUCCGGUUUAACCUUUCGUUAAUUUUGAAAACUUUGACCCUAGCUGAACUUUUGGAAAGACCUUCAAGCAGUCCAAUCACGUUUUACUUUUAACAGCCCUUCUUUCAAUCCUGUAAUAGAUUAUCUUUCAUGUACAUAUAACUAAACCUUCUUUCAAUCCUGUAAUAGAUUAUCUUUCAUGUACAUAUAACUAAACCUUCUUUCAAUCCAGUAAUAGAUUAUCUUUCAUGUAAAUAUAACUAAACAUUCUUUUCAAAAGAUCUUCAUUAAAUUCUCCACUUAAAGACACCAAGUAGCCAAGCCCAUGGGUUUUCUUCAAACCCCUGCACCCUGAGAAACCCCCUUUAACUCCUUUUUUCGAAUAAUACAAUAAAAAAGUUGAAUAUUCAUUUUAUUAAUACCAGAUGUAUAUUGUGUAUGUACAAUAAAUAAAAAUAUCUUUUUUCCAUAUAUUAUUCAAAUUUUGUCUCAAUAAAGAGUGUUUGUACAUAAAUGUUAUUGAUUUAAUGGGAUUGUUCACAUAUUUGAAAGUAGAA